UUGGAAUGAUGCAACUUAGCCAAAUCAGACAUUGAUGUGCUCCAAUAAGCAUGUUCUUCUAAGCUUGUUCUUUAAAACUUGAGCAAGCUUUGGAUUUAGGUGCCUUUUGUAGAAGCGCAUUCCUCUGGUGAUAAAUUAGAGAAAUGGUUCUUCGCUGACCAAA